rnacentral:rRNA from 1 species
UACGUAGGGGGCAAGCGUUGUCCGGAUUUAUUGGGCGUAAAGCGCGUGUAGGCGGCUGGGUAGGUCCGCUGUGAAAACUCGAGGCUCAACCUCGAGACGUCGGCGGAAACCAUCCAGCUAGAGUCCGGAAGAGGAGAGUGGAAUUCCUGGUGUAGCGGUGAAAUGCGCAGAUAUCAGGAAGAACACCCGUGGCGAAAGCGGCUCUCUGGGACGGUACUGACGCUCAGGCACGAAAGCGUGGGGAGCAAACAGG